AUGCCCCUGGACAUCACCAAGCACUUCGUCGCGGUGCCAACAGAGUUCAAGCUCAAGAACAACACCAGCUGCUCCUGGAAGGUGACGGUGAAGCUGAUGAACGGCAGGGUGACCCUGGAUCAAGGUUGGGCCACCUACGCCGCCGUUCACCAGAUCAAGAUCGGCUACAUGAUGACGUUCAAGCUCCUGACUCCGGACACCCUCAAGGUCAUCAUCUUCGACGAUGAUGGCAUUGAGGUGGUCAACAAGUGCAGGAAGCAUGACGAAGCCUUCGCCGCCAAGGAGUAG
rnacentral:rRNA from 1 species